UGUCAUAGAGGACUAAGUCGUACCAGUUUCCGUAGUGAACCUGCGGAGAUCAUUA
rnacentral:rRNA from 1 species